ACGGCUCAGUAACACGUCGAUAAUCUGCCCUCAGGUUGAGGAUAACCUUGGGAAACUGAGGCUAAUACUCUAUAUGGGAUUUCUUCUGAAAUGAUCUAUCCCUUAAAGGUAACGCCUGAGGAUGAGCCGGCGGCGGAUUAGGCAGUUGGUGGGGUAAUGGCCCACCAAACCUAUGAUCCGUAGGGGCCUUGAGAGAGGUCGCCCCGAGAAGGGUACUGAGACACUGACCCUAGCCCCACGGGGUGCAGCAGUCACGAGAACUUUACAAUGCGCAAAAGCGUGAUAAGGGAAUCCUAAGUGCUUAUACAAUGUAUAGGCUUUUGCCGACAGUAAAUAUGUCGGAGAAUAAGUGGUGGGCAAGACUGGUGCCAGCAGCCGCGGUAACCCCAGCGCCACAAGUGGCAUUCACAUUUACUUGGUCUAAAGCGUCCGUAGCAGGUUUGGAGAAUCUUUUGUGAAAUCGUCGGGCUUAACUCGACGGCGUGCAGGAGACACUUCCAGACUAGGGACCGGGAGGAGUCAGAAGUAUUCUUUGGGGAGCGGUAAAAUGCUAUAAUCCAUUGAAGACUACCAGUGGCGAAGGCGUCUGACUAGAACGGAUCCGACUGUGAGGGACGAAAGCUAGGGGAGCGAUCCGGAUUAGAUACCCGAGUAGUCCUAGCUGUAAACACUGCGAGCCAGAUGUUGCAUAAUCUUCGGGAUUGUGCAGUGUCGUAACGAAGGUGUUAAGCUCGCCACCUGGGAAGUACGGUCGCAAGGCUGAAACUUAAAGGAAUUGGCGGGGGAGCAC
rnacentral:rRNA from 1 species